rnacentral:rRNA from 1 species
UACGAAGGGUGCAAGCGUUACUCGGAAUUACUGGGCGUAAAGCGCGCGUAGGCGGCCCGAUAAGUCCGCUGUGAAAGUCAAAGGCUCAACCUUUGAAUGCCGGUGGAUACUGUCGGGCUAGAGUCCGGAAGAGGCGAGUGGAAUUCCUGGUGUAGCGGUGAAAUGCGCAGAUAUCAGGAAGAACACCCGUGGCGAAGGCGGUUCUCUGGGACGGUACUGACGCUGAGACGCGAAAGCGUGGGGAGCGAACAGG